rnacentral:rRNA from 1 species
UACGUAGGGCGCAAGCGUUGUCCGGAUUUAUUGGGCGUAAAGAGCGUGUAGGCGGCCAGAUAGGUCCGUUGUGAAAACUGGAGGCUUAACCUCCAGCGGUCGAUGGAAACCAUCUGGCUAGAGUCCGGAAGAGGAGAGUGGAAUUCCUGGUGUAGCGGUGAAAUGCGCAGAUAUCAGGAAGAACACCCGUGGCGAAGGCGGCUCUCUGGGACGGUACUGACGCUGAGACGCGAAAAGCGUGGGGAGCGAACAGG